rnacentral:sRNA from 1 species
GCUGGCUCUUCGCACGCGGCCAUGGCGGACUCCGAGCUGCAGCUGGUUGAGCAGCGGAUCCGCAGCUUCCCCGACUUCCCCACCCCAGGCGUGGUAUUCAGGGACAUCUCGCCCGUCCUGAAGGACCCCGCCUCCUUCCGCGCCGCCAUCGGCCUCCUGGCGCGACACCUGAAGGCGACCCACGGGGGCCGCAUCGACUACAUCGCAGGCGAGUGCCCAGUGGCCGCAUCUAGGGCGCUUCCGCCUCUGCGCGCGCCGAGGGCAGCACGUGGGCUCUGCGCGUCUGCUUGGGGGAGGGCCUUUGGGGUUCUUCAGGGGGCGCCGGGACGGGCGCCGUGCUUGGGUCGCCCGGGAAGGGUUGUGAGAUUGAGCCCCCGAGGCCGCCGCGCUGUGCAGGCGUCCUUCCCGCAGGUUCCGGGUCCCCAGCCCAGGACAGGCGUGACCGAGUUGCUGGGUCAGUUGGUCUCCCUGGAGUGGCCAAGCUGAAUCCACAGGGCCCAGCUGCCUUGCUUCUUGUUCCUUCUGCGAGCUGGUAUUGAGCGCCUGCCACGAGCCAGGCCUUCCCUGGUGAAGAUCACGGAAUG